rnacentral:rRNA from 1 species
UACAGAGGGUGCUAGCGUUGUUCGGAAUCAUUGGGCGUAAAGGGCGUGUAGGCGGUUUGUUAAGUCAUGUGUGAAAUCCCUCGGCUCAACCGGGGAAGGACGCAUGAAACUGGCAAGCUAGAGUACCAAAGAGGGGGGUGGAAUUCCCGGUGUAGCGGUGAAAUGCGUAGAUAUCGGGAAGAACACCAGUGGCGAAGGCGGCUCACUGGCCCGUAACUGACGCUGAGGUGCGAAAGCGUGGGGAGCAAACAGG